rnacentral:rRNA from 1 species
ACAUUCCUACAACAUAGUGUUAAUGCACUGAAUUGCAUUAGAACUCCACAGUUAAGUGCGCUCAUGCUAGAGUAGUACUGGGAUGGACGAAUGCUCGGGAAGUCCUAGUUUUUUACAUGCC